AAUGAGGUCAGGUUAAAUUUAUUGACCAGAGGGGCACAAAAGGAAAUUAGCUAUUGACCUCCCCUUUGCCUUGCCAAUUCACCCAAAAUGGCGUGAUUGUUUUAAAUGGCACAUCAAAAGGAGCAUACAUUUAUUUUCCCCAUCCCAACCUACCUUUCUUUCCAUCUGAACAAUGGAAAAAGUCCUCAUUUCUAUUUUUUUUUCUCAUUUCUAUUUCCAUCUCCUGCUCUUUCUUCAUCUGCUCUGCUUGCUAUAUUAACAAGUUAUCCAGUGCGAUGAGAUAG
rnacentral:misc_RNA from 1 species